rnacentral:rRNA from 1 species
UGGGGAAUUUUGGACAAUGGGCGCAAGCCUGAUCCAGCAAUGCCGCGUGCAGGAUGAAGGCCUUCGGGUUGUAAACUGCUUUUGUACGGAACGAAAAGCCUCUCUCUAAUACAGGGGGGUGAUGACGGUACCGUAAGAAUAAGCACCGGCUAACUACGUGCCAGCAGCCGCGGUAAUACGUAGGGUGCAAGCGUUAAUCGGAAUUACUGGGCGUAAAGCGUGCGCAGGCGGUUUUGUAAGACAGUGGUGAAAUCCCCGGGCUCAACCUGGGAACUGCCAUUGUGACUGCAAGGCUGGAGUGCGGCAGAGGGGGAUGGAAUUCCGCGUGUAGCAGUGAAAUGCGUAGAUAUGCGGAGGAACACCGAUGGCGAAGGCAAUCCCCUGGGCCUGCACUGACGCUCAUGCACGAAAGCGUGGGGAGCAAACAGGAUUAGAUACCCUGGUAGUCCACGCCCUAAACGAUGUCAACUGGUUGUUGGGGAUUUAUUUCUUCAGU